rnacentral:rRNA from 1 species
UACGUAGGGGGCAAGCGUUGUCCGGAAUUAUUGGGUGUAAAGCGCGUGUAGGCGGCUCGGUAAGUCUGCUGUGAAAGUUCAGGGCUCAACCCUGAAAUGCCGGUGGAUACUGUCGAGCUAGAGUCCGGAAGAGGCGAGUGGAAUUCCUGGUGUAGCGGUGAAAUGCGCAGAUAUCAGGAGGAACACCAAUGGCGAAGGCAGCUCGCUGGGACGGUACUGACGCUGAGACGCGAAAGCGUGGGGAGCAAACAGG